rnacentral:rRNA from 1 species
AUUGAACGCUGGCGGCAGGCCUAACACAUGCAAGUCGAACGAGUGGCGGACGGGUGAGUAAUGUCUGGGAAACUGCCUGAUGGAGGGGGAUAACUACUGGAAACGGUAGCUAAUACCGCAUACCAUCAGAUGUGCCCAGAUGGGAUUAGCUGGUGGGUGGGGUACCGGCUCACCAAGGCGACGAUCCCUAGCUGGUCUGAGAGGAUGACCAGCCACACUGGGACCGGUGCACGGGCCCGACUCCUACGGGAGGCAGAAGUGGGGAAUAUUGCACAAUGGGCGCAAGCCUGAUGGAGCCAUGCCGCGUGUGUGAUGAAGGCCUGCGGGUUGUAGUGUACUGGCAGCGGGGAGGCGUUACCCGCAGAUGACGCACCGGCUAAGUCCGUGACAGCAGCCGCGGUAAUAC